rnacentral:rRNA from 1 species
GGAAUAUUGGACAAUGGGCGCAAGCCUGAUCCAGCCAUGCCGCGUGCAGGAUGACGGUCCUAUGGAUUGUAAACUGCUUUUAUACGAGAAGAAACAUCCCGACGUGUCGGGACUUGACGGUAUCGUAAGAAUAAGGAUCGGCUAACUCCGUGCCAGCAGCCGCGGUAAUACGGAGGAUCCAAGCGUUAUCCGGAAUCAUUGGGUUUAAAGGGUCCGUAGGCGGUUUAAUAAGUCAGUGGUGAAAGCCCAUCGCUCAACGGUGGAACGGCCAUUGAUACUGUUAGACUUGAAUUAUUAGGAAGUAACUAGAAUAUGUAGUGUAGCGGUGAAAUGCUUAGAGAUUACAUGGAAUACCAAUUGCGAAGGCAGGUUACUACUAAUUGAUUGACGCUGAUGGACGAAAGCGUGGGUAGCGAACAGGAUUAGAUACCCGAG